AUUGAACGCUGGCGGCAUGCCUUACACAUGCAAGUCGAACGGCAGCACGGGUGCUUGCACCUGGUGGCGAGUGGCGAACGGGUGAGUAAUAAAUGGGAACAUGUCCUGUGGUGGGGGAUAGCCCGGCGAAAGCCGGAUUAAUACCGCAUACGAUCUACGGAGGAAAGCGGGGGACCUUCGGGCCUCGCGCUAUGGGGUUGGCCGAUGGCUGAUUAGCUAGUUGGUGGGGUAAAGGCCUACCAAGGCGACGAUCAGUAGCUGGUCUGAGAGGACGACCAGCCACACUGGGACUGAGACACGGCCCAGACUCCUACGGGAGGCAGCAGUGGGGAAUUUUGGACAAUGGGCGAAAGCCUGAUCCAGCAAUGCCGCGUGUGUGAAGAAGGCCUUCGGGUUGUAAAGCACUUUUGUCCGGAAAGAAAUCCUUGGCCCUAAUACGGUCGGGGGAUGACGGUACCGGAAGAAUAAGCACCGGCUAACUACGUG
rnacentral:rRNA from 1 species